GGUCGCACCAUGCGGCGUCUAUUUGUAGUCCAGAGCCGUGAGGUCUUGGCAUGAUCCAGUGUGAUGUGAGGAAGCAUGCGUUUGCCCCGUGCCCACAAUCGAUCAAAUUCACAGAUCAGUACCUCCUCUGCUUCAAGUAUGUCAGCAGGUCACAGAGUUGUACAACACAGCCUAUGCACACAGGAACUUGGCAGUAACAAACACAACAGUCAGCUGAGUGUUCUGUCAACGAGUAGCCAAGUUUUGUGCCCAAAUUACACUGAGUAAGUACUGUAAGUAUUUGGCUUGAAGGAGCACUAUAGAGACCAGGAUCCAGUUUCCAGUUGAUAGACCUCUCCCAAUCCAGAGAGUAAAGCAGGAUAGCGCUUACAAGAGCUAGUGAUUAUAAUCCAG